UACAGAGGGGGCAAGCGUUGUUCGGAAUUACUGGGCGUAAAGGGCUCGUAGGCGGCCAACUAAGUCAGACGUGAAAUCCCUCGGCUUAACCGGGGAACUGCGUCUGAUACUGGAUGGCUAGAGGUUGGGAGAGGGAUGCGGAAUUCCAGGUGUAGCGGUGAAAUGCGUAGAUAUCUGGAGGAACACCGGUGGCGAAGGCGGCAUCCUGGACCAAUUCUGACGCUGAUGAGCGAAAGCCAGGGGAGCAAACGGG
rnacentral:rRNA from 1 species